UUAAAGCAUCUCUCUCCCCACUGAUCCGCGGGGAAUAUAUAGUGUCCCCAUGUCUCCCAGUGUCCCUUAGUAUCUGUGUCCCUGAGACACUAAUGGACACUGGAAGACGGGACACUGAAACACUAGGACACUGGGAGGCUUAAAGACACUGUGCUUGGAGACAGGGAGACAGUGGGAGCAAUCCCGCUUACAGCAGAAUCAGGUUUUUUUUGGUGAUUUUAAAGAAUUUUCUGUUACUCAUUGUAAUGUACAUAUCGUGAUGUCACACAUGCAUAAUUAAUUAUGCAGAUUAGUAUGGCCGGUAUUUUUUUUUUUUUUUCUUUCAAAAAAGGUGGCAACCCUUACGCAGAAUCUAAACUGCUUCAUAUAAUUUUCCAUUAAAUAUCUUAUGAAUAAACCAAGAGAAAAAAUUGGUUUGCAAAGAAUGCUUUGGGGAAAUAAAACAAAAAAAGCAAGAGAUUUUGUAAAAUGUCCUUUUUCAAAGUGUGCAGACAUUACCUGUUCCAGAUCAUUGUUUUGUACAAUCGUCCCCUGAUAUGUUCUUGCUGAUUGUGUUUUUUGCAACUUUGCCUGGUUAAGGUUCCUUCCUUUUUAACAGCUUUCAUUUUAUUUUGUGUUCCUAAAAAUGCAAUUAAAGUUAAGCUGCUUUUUGGUGCAACUAAUAGAAUUUGUAAAUUCAGAUAGUCACUUGGCCUUGUAUUUUCUGAUCCGCAUGAAAUUAAGAAACUGAGUUUCUGUUGGGAAAAUAGCCAUUUUCCCCCUCCAGAAUGUAUAUACACAGCUGUUUAAUAAAGUAAAUUCUCUUCUUAAAA